AUGUGGUUUUCGGUCAAUUUAGGCUUAAUUUGUUUCAAAAACUGUAACGUCCUGAAGAAUAGUAUCUUGAAAUCUAGUUUAAUUCCUAUUUCCUGCUGUGGUAUCCCAAGAACUCAGGUACUCUUCAAAAGUUACGACAACAAGAACCUAGGGCAUUCCACCAUACUUUGGCAGGAUGGCUCUGAUAUGCAAGAAUUACCCGUCAUAGUCCGGAAGAUUCGUGGAGCGGAAGUAUUUAUGCUGUAUGAUAUAGAUGGCAAAUCAUCUGGUGGCAAACAUCCAAAACAAGACUCACCUCCAACUAGCAGUGGCUCAGCGGAACAUAUGCGAUCGCUUACACUCUACAUCCAACAUCGAGCUGAUUGAGAAAAUGCGCACAAAACUGAAAAUACUUGAUUGUGUCAUGAGCUUAGAGUGUAAACAUUAUCAAGGGCCUUUACUGCCGUAUGAACACUCGAAUGAAGCAAAAACUUGGGUGGACCCUCGGAUUAGGAAUGCACUCAUGCAAAUAAACGUAGCGCUUAAUUCAAUCAUAACAAGCGGUAAUCAACUUUCAACAUCCGUAACUUUACACAGCUGCCUCUCGUGAAUUUAUUCACAGUAGAUGCCCUAAUUCAUCCUAAAGACCCCACAGGCAGAAUAAAACUUGACAAAAAUUCUGUCGCAAUUUUAAUUCAUCCUCCAGAGCACUACUGCUUUCAAAGCAGUGAAUUAAUUGGAUCUCAAGUGAUGAGAAAGCGAAUCUUGAAAAAAUUAGGCUUGAAAGUUGUCAGUUUAGAUUAUAGCCGUUUGAUUGUUCUAGGGAUCUAUCCCAAAAAAUUGUUUGCUUAUGUCAAUUCAAAUAUGAAGCACCCUGAUUCAACUUCAUAAUCAUGGCUUCUAAUUUCCAUCAAGAUGACCUUAAGUACGGAUUAACUGUUCCCACCAUUGAAAGAAAUAGAUAAGUAUCGGCAAAAAAAAUUGUCAGACUCUAUUUUUUCUCUAUUAGUUUGUCUCAGUUCUCUCAGCUGAUCAAUAUCCAUGCUCUAGGUGGUCUAUGUUUGGCUACAAAGGCAUCAGAUUUGCCCUUUUCAGUUGUACCUUUAUCUGAUACUGCAACGCUGCUGCUAGCAAGAUACUUUGUAUCGAGGAAUUGAAGUAUUUCUCCAUGAAACUUUCUGAUGAUAGGUACCUUGAAUGUUUUAAGUUUAAGGACUAUCAAGAAUAUCAAGACAUAUUGUGAUUAAUUCUAGAUAAUUUUGCAGGAGGGAAUUCUGGAAUAAAGCUCCAAUUAAAAGUUUUUUGUGAAAAACUCUCAUCCUGAACUUUACCAAUCUAAAAUUUUAAAUUAUUCUCCAGGGGCCAUUUUAUUUAAUUUGGGAAUUAAAUUAUCACCAUUGUUAAUUGUUGAUUUACCUGGCCUAGGCCUACCUAACAAGUUUAGGUAAUUAAUUUCAUAGCUCUUAUAAUUCUACGAACAGUUUGGUUUAGUCCUUGUUAUUUAUUAUUUAUUGUUUGUAUCAUAGCUCUAUGUAAAACUGAAAAUAAAAAUAAAAUUUGAAACUUUCUCCAUCAUAACUCAUUUUAAUUAAACCCUUAUGAAACCGCAUAGCAUACAAGUAGCAUUCCCUCAUAAAUUAUGAAACUAAGUAAGUAUUGCAUUGGUUGAAACCUCAUUUUUCUCAGUAGGGGAUGGAAACUGGAAUCUUCAUCCAAAGUUUUUUUUUAUAUAUAUUUUAUUACCUAUCUCCUUUCACGUUUUACAUCCCUUGCCUUACUCUCUGUUACAGGGCUAAACUUGUAAGCAUAUUAAUACCUAGUGAAUUUUGAAAUAAUUAUUGUCAUUUGAAUAGGUACAAUGUUCUGAAAUUCCUGUUCAUGCUUUAUCUCUAGUAGUAUUGGCUGGUUUUGGACUUUAAAAAAGGUUAAAAACUGUUAAAAUGUAUGGAUAAGAAAACCCUCUUAGUACCUAUGUUCUUUUUAAGUAAAAUUUAUUGCUCAAGUGAUUACGAUAGAGGAAAAAGUUAUCUUAGAAAAAAAGUUGGCAUCAAAAUUUUUUUGCACACUAAAGCCACUCAUUUACAAAAUGCAAAAUAAACUGCUAAAUAUGUGGACAAUAAAAACAAAAAUCAUUGGUAUAAUUUUUGUUAAAUUUUACUAAAAUAAAAAAGUGAAAAACUUGUAAAAGUGCAAAAUGACAUUUUAAUUUUAACAUGAAAUAGAACUAAAUGAGUUUCCUAAUGUAGACAUUUUAACAAUUUUUAAGAGUUUUCACUCUGAAAGUUAUGAGUGUUUAAACUUGUUGUACAGCCAAAGCUACCAGGAAUUAUUUUUCCCACUAUUCUUAGAAAAUACCCUUGAUGAUAUCGAAAGAAGUUCAUUACCUAGGUCUAAAAGAAGACUGUCUUUUUCAUAUUCUUUCAGUAUUUUUUGUAAAAGUUGAUCGCAAUGAAAAAUUUCUAACAUUGUGAAUUAAGGUACCUAUUUAAGUGCUCUUCUGGUUCAAUGAUUUCAAUACAGGACUUUUGUGCAAAUGAAAUAUUUUAUGACCACCUUUGAAAUUGCAAAAAAAAUCAUGACUGCAGCCUCUGUCCAAGUUCACAACAUUAAGUAACUCUGUAUCAGUUCAAAAUUGGUAUGCAAAGUCUUCAAGCAAAUUUCCUAGUUGCCAUGCUUGGGACCUUUCAUUUUUUCAAAAUCUUUUACUUUAUUAAAAUUUACCCAGUUUCAUUUCUUUUGAAUUUGGCUGGCCCUCAGGUCUGUAAAAAAAUUGUAAUUUCUGGGCAUUUUCUCAGAGACUAAUGAGUUUCAGUAAAAUACAUUUUUCUCAAAAUUUAAAAAAAAUUAUUUCCAAGUAUUACAAAGUGACUAAGGGCAUUUUGUGCUACGUGAUAAAUUGCAGUUCAAAAAAUCAUGAAUGAGAACACUCAAAGGACCAGAAACUGGUUUCCUGAGGCACUCUAGGUUUUUUCUUAUCAGUAAUUUGAAUUUCCCGCGUCGUAGCAGCUGUUCCUCCCCACCAUUCUUCAAGACCCUUCCCCUCCCACCAAAGAACUCAAUGUAAACAACAACAGUCAGGCACUUGAAAUGACCGCGCUGAAUCUAUCAGACCUCUAUCAGACCAGCCCAUGAACAACUAACCAGGGCAUGCCUACCAUCGGGCAAGUCUCUGAGCUCGCGACAGUAGUACAUUCAACCACCGCUGCAGCGCUGCCCAUUCGCAUGCGCCAAGCGCAACUUUAAGGCCCAAUGUAAAGAAACGAAACCACGGAUUUCGAUGAAAUUUAUGGAAUACACUAAUCGUAUCCUUAUGUAUCCAGAAAAAUCGUCCCUUCGAGUGUGCACUGAUCCCUUCAACCCCUAACUCAACAUUCCGAUCUCAUCAGACCAGUUAGGAUUUUUCAAGUACCGCCCCGCACGGCCGACUUAAGGGUCAAAUAUAAAAAAAACAAAACCACGGAUUUCCAUGAAACUUAUGGAAUACACUAAUUAUAUCCAUAAGUAUCCAGAAAAACCAUCCCUUCAAUCGUGCACUGAUCCCUUCAACCCUUAUCUCAACAUUCCGCUCUCAUCUGACCAGCUAGGAUUUUUUACUCUUCCGCGCCGCAAGCCCAAAUGUAAAGUCAAAUAUAAAAAAUAC
rnacentral:lncRNA from 1 species